rnacentral:rRNA from 1 species
CUGAUGCGUUGUUGGGUAGGGGAGCGUUCUGUAAGCCUGUGAAGGUGGCCUGUGAGGGUUGCUGGAGGUAUCAGAAGUGCGAAUGCUGACAUAAGUAACGAUAAAGCGGGUGAAAAGCCCGCUCGCCGGAAGACCAAGGGUUCCUGUCCAACGUUAAUCGGGGCAGGGUGAGUCGACCCCUAAGGCGAGGCCGAAAGGCGUAGUCGAUGGGAAACGGGUUAAUAUUCCCGUACUUGGUGUUACUGCGAAGGGGGGACGGAGAAGGCUAUGUUGGCCGGGCGACGGUUGUCCCGGUUUAAGCGUGUAGGUGUGUGUUCCAGGUAAAUCCGGUUCACUUUAACACUGAGGCGUGACGACGAGGCACUACGGUGCUGAAGCAACAAAUGCCCUGCUUCCAGGAAAAGCCUCUAAGCAUCAGGUAACAUCAAAUCGUACCCCAAACCGACACAGGUGGUCAGGUAGAGAAUACCAAGGCGCUUGAGAGAACUCGGGUGAAGGAACUAGGCAAAAUGGUGCCGUAACUUCGGGAGAAGGCACGCUGACACGUAGGUGAAGUGAUUUACUCAUGGAGCUGAAGUCAGUCGAAGAUACCAGCUGGCUGCAACUGUUUAUUAAAAACACAGCACUGUGCAAACACGAAAGUGGACGUAUACGGUGUGACGCCUGCCCGGUGCCGGAAGGUUAAUUGAUGGGGUCAGCGCAAGCGAAGCUCCUGAUCGAAGCCCCGGUAAACGGCGGCCGUAACUAUAACGGUCCUAAGGUAGCGAAAUUCCUUGUCGGGUAAGUUCCGACCUGCACGAAUGGCGUAAUGAUGGCCAGGCUGUCUCCACCCGAGACUCAGUGAAAUUGAACUCGCUGUGAAGAUGCAGUGUACCCGCGGCAAGACGGAAAGACCCCGUGAACCUUUACUAUAGCUUGACACUGAACAUUGAGCCUUGAUGUGUAGGAUAGGUGGGAGGCUUUGAAGUGUGGACGCCAGUCUGCAUGGAGCCGACCUUGAAAUACCACCCUUUAAUGUUUGAUGUUCUAACGUGGACCCGUUA